rnacentral:tRNA from 1 species
GCACCCAUAGUUCAACUGGAUAGAAUAUCAGAUUCCGGUUCUGACGGUUGGGGGUUCGAGUCCCUCUGGGUGCA